UACGUAGGGUGCAAGCGUUGUCCGGAAUUAUUGGGCGUAAAGGGCUCGUAGGCGGUUUGUCGCGUCGGGAGUGAAAACUCAGGGCUUAACCCUGAGCCUGCUUCCGAUACGGACAGACUAGAGGUAUGCAGGGGAGAAUGGAAUUCCUGGUGUAGCGGUGAAAUGCGCAGAUAUCAGGAGGAACACCGGUGGCGAAGGCGGUUCUCUGGGCAUUACCUGACGCUGAGGAGCGAAAGUGUGGGGAGCGAACAGG
rnacentral:rRNA from 1 species